CUACGGGUUGCACCAGUGAGGAAUAUUGCACAAUGGGGGGAACCCUGAUGCAGCAACGCCGCGUGGAGGAUGACGCAUUUCGGUGUGUAAACUCCUUUUAUGAGUCAAGAAAAUGACGGUAGCUCAUGAAUAAGCUCCGGCUAACUCCGUGCCAGCAGCCGCGGUAAUACGGAGGGAGCAAGCGUUACUCGGAAUCACUGGGCGUAAAGGACGCGUAGGCGGGUUGGAAAGUCAGGUGUGAAAUCCUACAGCUUAACUGUAGAACUGCACUUGAAACUUCUAAUCUAGAGUAUGGGAGGGGAGAUGGAAUUAGUGGUGUAGGGGUAAAAUCCGCAGAUAUCACUAGGAAUACCUAAAGCGAAGGCGAUCUCCUGGAACAUUACUGACGCUAAGGCGUGAAAGCGUGGGGAGCAAACAGGAUUAGAUACCCUCGUAGUC
rnacentral:rRNA from 1 species